rnacentral:rRNA from 1 species
UGUGUAGGCGGUUCUUUAAGUUUGGUGUGAAAUCUCCCGGCUCAACUGGGAGGGAGCGCCGAAUACUGAGGGACUAGAGUACGGGAGAGGAAAGUGGAAUUCCUGGUGUAGCGGUGAAGUGCGUAGAUAUCAGGAGGAACACCGGUGGUGUAGACGGCUUUCUGGACCGUAACUGACGCUGAUACACGAAAGCGUGGGUAGCAAACAGGAUUAGAUACCCUGGUAGUCCACGCCCUAAACGAUGCAUAUUUGGUGUGGGCAGUUCAUUCUGUCCGUGCCGGAGCUAACGCGUUAAAUAUGCCGCCUGGGGAGUACAGUCGCAAGGCUGAA